rnacentral:rRNA from 1 species
CCUACGGGGGGCUGCAGUGGGGAAUAUUGGACAAUGGGCGCAAGCCUGAUCCAGCAAUACCGCGUGUGUGAAGAAGGCCUUAGGGUUGUAAAGCACUUUCAAUUGGGAGGAAAACCUGUCGGUCAAUACCCGGCAGCUUGACAUUACCUUUAGAAGAAGCACCGGCUAACUCCGUGCCAGCAGCCGCGGUAAUACGGAGGGUGCAAGCGUGGAUUGGAAUUUCUGGGGGUAAUGCGUUCAUAGGGGGUUCAAAGCCCCGGGCUUAACCUGGGAACUGCAUUUGAAACUGGCGGACUCGAGUUGAGUAGAGGGGAGUGGAAUUUCAGGUGUAGCGGUGAAAUGCGUAGAUAUCUGAAGGAACACCAGUGGCGAAGGCGACUCCCUGGACUCAAACUGACGCUGAGGUACGAAAGCGUGGGUAGCAAACAGGAUUAGAUACCCGGGUAGUC